rnacentral:rRNA from 1 species
CCUUGAUGUGUAGAUCAGGGGGGUCGCCGUGAAGCGUGAACGCCAGUCUGCGUGGAGCCAACCUUGAAAUACCACCCUUUAACGUUUGAUGUUCUAACCUGGCGCCGUAAUCCGGCGUGGGGACAGUGUCUGGUGGGUAGUUUGCCUGGGGCGGUCUCCUCCCAAAGAGUAACUGAGGAGCCCGAAGGUCCGCUAAUCACGGUCGGACAUCGUGAGGUUAGUGCAAUGGCAUAAGCUGGCUUGACUGCGCGUGUGACGGCUCGAGCAGGUGCGAUAGCAGGUCAUAGUGAUCCGGUGGUUCUGAAUGGAAGGGCCAUCGCUC